rnacentral:rRNA from 1 species
GAUGAACGCUGGCGGCGUGCCUAAUACAUGCAAGUCGAGCGAACAGACGAGGAGCUUGCUCCUCUGACGUUAGCGGCGGACGGGUGAGUAACACGUGGAUAACCUACCUAUAAGACUGGGAUAACUUCGGGAAACCGGAGCUAAUACCGGAUAAUAUAUUGAACCGCCUGGUUCAAUAGUGAAAGACGGGUUUGCUGUCACUUAUAGAUGGAUCCGCGCCGCAUUAGCUAGUUGGUAAGGUAACGGCUUACCAAGGCAACGAUGCGUAGCCGACCUGAGAGGGUGAUCGGCCACACUGGAACUGAGACACGGUCCAGACUCCUACGGGAGGCAGCAGUAGGGAAUCUUCCGCAAUGGGCGAAAGCCUGACGGAGCAACGCCGCGUGAGUGAUGAAGGUCUUCGGAUCGUAAAACUCUGUUAUUAGGGAAGAACAAAUGUGUAAGUAACUAUGCACGUCUUGACGGUACCUAAUCAGAAAGCCACGGCUAACUACGUG